rnacentral:rRNA from 1 species
GACAGAGGUGCCGAGCGUUAGGCGGAAUCACUGGGCUUAAAGCGUGUGUAGGCGGGUCGUUAAGUGUCUUGUGAAAUCCCACCGCUCAACGGUGGAACUGCUGGGCAUACUGGCGAUCUUGAGCCACCUAGGGGCAGACGGAACAAGCGGUGGAGCGGUGAAAUGCGUAGAUAUCGCUUGGAACGCCGACGGUGAAAACAGUCUGCUGGGGGUGUGCUGACGCUGAGACACGGAAGCCAGGGGAGCGAACGGG